UUCGGGAUUAGUGGCGGACGGGUGAGGAACACGUGGGAACGUGCCUUUUGGUUCGGAACAACUCAGGGAAACUUGAGCUAAUACCGGAUAAGCCCUUCGGGGGAAAGAUUUAUCGCCAUUAGAGCGGCCCGCGUCUGAUUAGCUAGUUGGUGAGGUAAAGGCUCACCAAGGCGACGAUCAGUAGCUGGUCUGAGAGGAUGAUCAGCCACACUGGGACUG
rnacentral:rRNA from 1 species